AUGAAAGCCCUUUUAUGGAACAUUAGGGGUUUUGGUGCUAGGGGGCGCCGAGACCAAAUUAGAGAUGUUGUCCGUGGUGAUAAUAUUGAUAUAGUCGGGCUAGUUGAAACUUUUAGAGAUUCCUUCUCCCCCAAUGAACUUUCUACGAUUGCAGGCAUGGACAGAUUCGACUGGCAUGUUCUACCUUCUGCGGGUCACUCGGGAGGGAUUCUGAUUGGAUCGAAAAGGGACGUGUUUGACUUUGUGGCCUUUGAUCAUGGUAUCUUUUGGGAAAGUAUUGUCGUCUAUCACAAGACUCUAAACAUUUUGGGGAAAUUCAUGGUUGUUUAUGGCCCAGCAGACCACUCGCUGACCUCCAUAUUUCUGGAUGAACUUUCUGCUAAGAUCGAGGCGUGUAAUAUUCUGAUAGUUAUCGGCGGCGAUUUUAACCUCCUUCGUACUCCCUCGGACAAGAGUAAUUCUAACUUCUCCUGGAUUUUGGCAAAUGCUUUCAAUGAUUUUAUUAGCAAUUGUGCCAUUCGCGAACUUCCUAGGGUUGGGGCCCGCUUUAUCUGGUCAAAUCAUCAUGCCACCCCGAUCAGGUCGGUGCUGGAUCGGGUGUUCAUCUGCUCCAGGUGGGACUCCUGUUCCCUCGGGCCUCCCUUCUCGCCAAAGUGA
rnacentral:rRNA from 1 species